GAAAGGAGUAAAUAACUAAAAUAUUUUUAUAUA
rnacentral:rRNA from 1 species